rnacentral:lncRNA from 1 species
AGAGGCUGAUUUCUCCACUGAUGACUUGAUUCUUAGUAAGAGUCUUGUUCUCCAGGCCUAGAUCUUUAGAUUUUGUCUCACUGUUUCUCUCUUCUUCUCUUUUUUUUUUUUUUCCCAUUUCCAUUCAAGUGUAGUAAUAAGUUAACAAAUACCAAACAAUCACCAAUUCAAUAGAAAUAUCUGGAAUUUUGCACAGGCUGUUGUAAAAAGAGUUUGCAUAUUUGAUCAAGUCUGGAAUUGUGCUCGAUUCAAUUUGAACCUUGCCUUGUCUAUGCAUUAAUAUCCCAGGAUCCACUUCUCAUGCAGAAUACCAAUAGUAGAGUUAUAAAACAUUUGAUCCUACCCCAAAUGUUGGAGUGAAAAUUUAUUUAAUGUAUAAUAUUGUGGAUGUAAAUCAAAGAAGGAGAUUUCAUAAGUAUAAGCCAUUUGUUUUGGCUAGCAGGUUUAUGAAUUUAUUGAAAAAAUGAUAUGAAUCAGAUUUAAAUGCAUUUAUUAGUGACUAAUCAGCCACAAAAACAAAUUCAAUAAUAAAUAUUUUUUUAAUUUUACUAUUAAUUUACGACGAAAUAGCGACUAAUUGCUCUUCUAUGAUGCGAUCAAAUAGCGACCAAAAUAGCGAC